ACCCGGCUAAUCCGUGCCWSCAGCGCGGUAUASGAGGGGUAKCGUKUUGGAAUACUGGSGUAAAGCKUACGURGSGGAUUAUAAKUAGAGGUGAAUCCCAGGCUCAACCUGGAACUGCCUUAAAACUKUUAGUCUGAGWUCGAGAGAGKUGAGUGAAWUCCAAGUGAGAGGUGAARUUGUAGAUAUUGGAGGACACCAGUGGCGAAGGCGGCUCACUGRCUCGAUACGACGAUGAGGUWCGAAAGUGUGGKAGCAAACAGGAUUAGAUACCCUGGUAGUCCACACCGUAAACGAUGAAUGCCAGACGUCAGCAAGCAUGCUUGUUGGGUCACACCUAACGGAUUAAGCAUUCCGCCUGGGGAGUACGGUCGCAAGAUUAAAACUCAAAGGAAUUGACGGGGGCCCGCACAAGCGGUGGAGCAUGUGGUUUARUUSGACGCAACGCGCAGAACCUUACCAACCCUUGACAUACUUGUCGCGGACUCCAGAGAUGGAUUCCUUCAGUUCGGCUGGACAAUGUACAGGUGCUGCAUGGCYGUCGUCAGCUCGUGUCGUGAGAUGUUCGGUUAAGUCCGGCAACGAGCGCAACCCACGUCMUUAGUUACCAGCAUUUAGUUGGGUACCCUAWGGAGACUGCCGGUGAUAAGCCGGAGGAAGGUGUGGACGACGUCAWGUCAUCAUGGCCMUUACGGGUUGGGCUACACACGUGCUACAAUGGCAUCUACAGUGAGUUAAUSUCCAAAAGAUGUCUCAGUUCGGAUUGGGGUCUGCAACUCGACCCCAUGAAGUUGGAAUCGCUAGUAAUCGCGGAACAGCAUGMCGCGSUGAAUACGUUCCCGGGCCUAGUACACAC
rnacentral:rRNA from 1 species